AAAUAAAGCACUUGUUAGUCUUGAACCGCGCGCCAUUCUGAGCAGCGGGCUGAAGUCUCAUGGCUGCUUUGCUUUGUCCUGCUCUGGCAUGAGUCACCCGUGCUGGUGCCACUGCCGGCCCAUCAGUCACCUAGUAGCCCUACCAGGUGUCAGACUGACUGUCACAGGGCAGUGACUUCAUAAUGGCUCUUAUUGACUUCAUAAUGGCCUCAGAGCACAAGAGGAGGGAUGCUGGCCAUCGAGGAAGUGGGAGUGCUACCUUGAACAGAAACGGUGGAGUUCUUGAAUUCAUAAGGAGAGAAAAAAAAAAGUGAUGCUAAGGUCGCUAAGACCUAGGCUAGGAACGAAUCCCCUCUGUGGAAAUGCAAGUAAGAAGACGGAAAUUUGCCCUAGUUUGGCGGUUGCACCUCCGAUCCCAGAGGUUAUGCCUACCAUACAGGGAACAGCAGUGUGUAUAUUGGAACCAGUGUUACCUGUUUGGGUUCCAGACUUCAUGCAGUUUCAGGCAUGGAUUGAGUCUCUUGGAUGGAUAAGGGCAGACUCUCUACCUUACGCUAUUUUGAGACAGACUGAGGUUGACAGAGAGUGAGAGACCACUUUUACAUAACUCAUUCCAGUAUGUUGUUAUGGGUGUCCUAACAUAGUAUUGUGUGUGUUCAUCUCUUAUGCUUUGUCACAGGUGUGUGCGUGUGUCGUUCAGAGUUCCGUGCGAUCCAUGGUCUCAGACAUCCCCGGUUGGCCUUGAAGUGUGGCCCCCAGGGACAAAGGAUGCUACUGAUGCGUGAGUGUGUGCUGACAAGGAAACAGGCGAUCGGCAAAGCACAGGCACUUGCCCAAGGACACACAGCAGAGGCUGAUUCCGAAGUGCACCCUGGUGACCACCAGGCUGUUCUGUCUUGGAGCUAGAUAGACCUCCCUUCCAGCAGCCAAUGCGGGGACAGCUCUCAGCUGUCAGGGGUGAUUCAGGACAACCACAGGCUCCUGCUAACAUCCCAUCAGGGCCAAUGCAAAAGGAAAAUGCAGGACUAUCAUUCAAAACCAAGGGGAAAACAUUUCUUUCGUCCACAGCCCGUCUGUCUGUCUGUCAUCUGUCUGUCUCGCUUUCUCAUGGUGUUUUGUUAUUUCAUGCCGGAGUUCCCUGGGCACAGACACUCAGGGCACUCAGGAAAGGAGCUCAGCCCAUCCCAGAUGCCACUUCUCCAUGCUCCUGCGCCCGGGGCCCCUGCCUGGAAUGGAGGGCCGUCAGUGGUAGUCACCGGGUGGAGGCACAGAUGUAGACGGCUGAGACCCCGCCACGUCUGGGUUGGGAGGCUGCAAAGGGGUGGCCCCAGGCAGGGGCUGAGGCCCCAUGUCGCCAGCGCAUGUGCCGUUGUUCCACCAGCUUUCACUUGCAAAACACAAAGGCAAAGACAAAAUCAUGCAGAAUUGCUUGAUGAUGACCAAGGAGCAUGAGCUGCAAGCCCAGGACCCCCCUGAGCACCUGCUUUAUUGAUCACACACCCAUGAAGGAAGGGACUAUUUCUUUAAUAUAAAAUAGGGCAUGAGCUCUCCCCAUGUCUCCUCCUUCCACACUCCACAGAAGCCUGAUUUUCCCUUGCUUGAUCCCACCACCGCCAGCAGCCCUUUAUCACGGGAGUUCUUCCAACCUGGGAUUCCAAGGGACUUACCUAAUCUGAUGGCUGGGAGCCACACAUGCCAGGAUGUGAACAGAAGUCAAAGCCAUUUGCCUCCAAUUAACUAACAAGGAAAACCUUGAUUAAUCUGCCUGUGGAAGUUAGAGUUCCUGAAAAAUCAGCUGGGGAACCCUCACUUCCCUAAGCACACAGGGGACUGGGGUACCCACAGAUGUCUGCAGUUGUCCUAUGGCCAGGAGGUAGAGGGCUGGCUUCCUUCCUUACUCCAGAAGGCAUGGAUUAGAGGGAAGGGUUCUAGACCAGAUUCAAAGCCCCGAUCUUCCGUGUUAAACGUGGUCCUCACUUCCCCUUACAGAGCCUCAGGCCCACCUUUGAAAAUAGGAUGAGCUGCCUGUGGCCCUGUAAAGGGAAACCAAUCAGAAGCUCCCGCUCCUGGCUUCCACGUGGGGCAUUCAGUGAGCAGACACUGGGCUGGCACUUGUUGGAGUUGAUCCUAGAGGCUCUGGGUAGACAGAGUUUGAGCGUGGGCUCUGAAGGCUGUGGAUUGUUAUUCCCAUGCCACUCCACACGUCCUCCACCACACUUGCCCACUCCCUCAGGCUCUGAACACCCAUCAGCCUCCCAGAACAGGCGAGAAGAACGGAUAGGAAAAAGAAGAAUCUGUGACAAUUGCUUUGUUUGUUUAAAGGUUUAUUUAUUUGAAAGGCAGAGUGACAGAGAGAGAGAAAUAGAGAGAGAGAGAGAGAGAGAGAGAGAGAUCUUGCAUCCACUGGUUCACUCCCGAAAUGGCCUUAACAGCCAAGCCAUAACCAGGAGCUGAAACUCCCAUCCAGGUCUCCCACGUGGCUGGCAGGAACUCAAGUACUGAAGCCAUCAUCUGCCGCCUCCCGGGUGCCUAAGAAGGGAUCCGGACUGGAAGCAGAGCACCUGGGACUCAAACUGGCACUCUGAUGGGCGGAUGUGGGGUCCCACCUGCAGUGCCGCCACGUCAGCCCCUUGCGACAUUUGCUGAGUUCUUACUUCCUGUCAACCAUUUAGCAAGUGGUUUCUCAGUUAAUCCUCCUGGGACUCUGUGACGCGCAAUGACAAUGCUCCUUUCAAAGAUGAGAAAACCGGGACUCGGAGCGUCCAGGUUGCCAGUGAACAGCACGGCAUCCGUGACCUGAGGCUGAGAGUGUGUGGUUCUGACAACACAUCCUGUCCACCACCAGACUCUGGAGACAGCAAUAAGUAAAGACAGGGACAGCGUAUGCAAAGCUCAAUGCCUGGUACCCAGUAGGUGCUCAAUAAGUGCUUCUUACACUGAAGAGCAUUAUGUUGGUUUAAACCCUGCCACCUGAGACUGCUGGGCCUGGGCAGACCAGGCCAGAUCCUUUCCAGUUUCCCUAUGGGAGCCCAGGGCUUGAAGGGCAAAGGCAGAGCUGGGUCUUACAGCCCCCAACCCCAGGAAGGAGGCCGCUGGGCCAGGACAGAGCACCCUUUGUUUAUUGUGCCUCUGCAUCCUACCCAGUAAUUAGCAUUGGCAGCUUCUUAUUGAGUUUUUGUUUUCAUAAUUCAUUUGCCUGCGAUGACAUAAUAAAAGGAAUAUUGAUUCAAUCCCAACUCCUCUUGGCCAGAAGCCCACAUCAACCAAUAAAAAAGAAUUGCUAAUUGCAGAGCGCGCUUGCCCGGGCCGAGGCAUUUGAGAGGUCGUUUUGAUAGCGGAUGGGAGGCUUGCAGUCCCGGGCCACGGAAUGAAUCCCCCUGGUCCGGGCCCUGGGUCCUGUCUCUGGCCUGGGGACAUCAUCCUCCGGCGAGGACAAAUCCAGCUGCCCCUAACACCAGGAAGAAGAGCCCGCAGGACCGCCAGGGUGGAGCCCCAGGCAGGAAAAUCUUCCACAGGCCUGUUGACAGAUGUGGUAUCAAAUGAAUUGUUCUCUGCUUAGACACGACUUUGAUAUUUAUUGGUUCAAAUUGCUCGGCUGACUCAGUCUUGCGUAAGUCUCCGUGGUCCGUUUUCAUCUUGACAUUUGGGGAAGCCACACUGAUGUGGGUAAUGACUGGGUUUACCUGGGAUCAAAACGCAAAUGGAGAAGGGGUGGCGGGGCGGGGUGGGGGGCAGGCUGGAGUAAUUACAGUGGGGCAAUGUAUAUUUUUGUGUAAUCUGGAAAGGCGAUUUAUGAGGCCGAUAAAAAUGAUAAUGUGUUGUGAGUGGAGCCGACGCGGAUUAGCCUCCUUAGAGCUUUCUUUGCAGGAAAUGAAUGGCGCAGGGAGGCGGGGUGGGGUGGCUUGCUGUUUAUUAGACAAACGGUUGUUCCAAAUCCACGGGUUUUUUUUUUUUUUUUCCCUUCUCUUCUGAAAUUACUGAGAUAAGGCACAUUGGAAUACUGAUUGGGUUCCUCCUAUGGUUACUAUUAAUUAGGAUGUUAGUUUCCGGAGUAUGGAGAGCUGGGGGAAGGGUUGUGUAAUGAAGACCAGAGAGGGCGGGGGUAGGGGAGGGGAUUCCCCCCACCCCACCCCCAUCCCUGCACUAUCCUCAGAAGCCGAGGGCUGAGUUCGUUGAGCUUGGCUGGGACAAGGACUCCUGCUGCCACGUGGAAGCUUACAUAACUUCCGGGUAGGUCUGCCGCCAACGGGUGCCCGGUUUGUCACCCCAACGCUAAAUGGCGCAGAAGCCCUUUGAUUUCGUCUCUCUGGAUUCGUAGUUUACAACCUCACAGGAAAGACAGCAGCAGAAAAAGCACCAAAGUCCCUGUUCUACCCACAUGAGCAAGACAGUAGCGAUGGUGGAGGUGGCAUCGGACACCACUUCCUCACCUUCCUCCUCAGUGUGCCCCUCUCAUCCUCACCUCCAGGGGGCCCCACCAGCACUGGGCCCUCCCACACCCACCUGUGCACCAGCGUCCCUGAGACCUCUGUGUAGCCAGCUACGCCCCGCCCCGCACGCGCCUCCACCACCGACCCCACUGCCCGCCUCUGUCCACUCCACACAGGUCCUAACGGCCGGGUCUUUGGCUUCGGUGUGUCUGACCCACCCAUCGCUUCCUUUGCUUUUGACUCAAGAGGCCGCCCCCACUGCCCGACGCGGACGGCAAUGCUAAGGAAAGAGACACGUUCUCUCUGGAGGCGUCGCUGCAGGGGGACGUCUUGGAAAGCCGGGGUGGCAUCUUGUUAGCAAGGGCUGCUCAUCCUCCCCGCCUGUCUCAGGACACCACGGCCCUCCAUCCUCAUGAGCCCGAAUGGGUCUCAGAAAACUCCACCAGGUUGACACAGGACCCCACUCCGGUGGGUUCUUGGGCCACUGAAGUACCCAGGCCCUUUCCCACCCCUGCACCUGCGGCCUGGGACCCGCCCACGCCAUGAUGCUACAUACCUGGCGCCUUUGGUCCUUGGAGCUUUCCCAGCGCUUUCCCAGGUUUAUCCUGUUUUAUGUGUGAGGAUAGCAAGACAUGGAGAGUAAAAUGUCUCGCUCAAGAUCACGCCUGCAGGAAACGGGCACGCUGGAAGCUACGUGCAAGUCCAGGUACCAAUGGUCUUAUUUGUCACCUGGCUGGAAAGAAUUGGUGAUAUUGGGAUGCUCCUGCACUGAGUCAGCCGACAGCAUUCUGAGGCAGAGUGAACAAUGAGAGAGAGAGAGACAGAGAGAAAAGUCUUCCUUUGCUGUUGGUUCACCCCCCCAAUGGCCACCACGGCCAGCGCACUGUGGCCAGCGCAUCACGCUGAUCCGAAGCCAGGAGCCAGGUGCUUCUCCUGGUCUCCCAUGCGGGUGUAGGGCCCAAGCACUUGGGCCAUCCUCUACUGCACUCCCGGGCCAUAGCAGAGAGCUGGCCUGGAAGAGGGGCAACCAGGACAGAAUCUGGUGCCCCGACCGGGACUAGAACCCAGGGUGCCGGUGCCGCAGGCGGAGGAUUAGCCUAUUGAGCCAUGGUGCUGGCCAAUAGACACAGUCUUAAGCACAUACAUCCCAACCCCCCUCCCUCCUUUCUUUUCCUUGCUUUCUUUUUUUUCUUUUAAUAUUUGUAAUAACAUACUUUCAACUUACUUUAUAAUCACAGGCUUAAUCCUCCACUAAAUAAAGAAUUCUAUAAGUAGAAUUUCAUUUUCCUAUGUUGAGGAACCUUUGUGUUUAUGUCUAUGGUUGUAAAAGGGCAAUAAAACAUUUAAAAAUCAUAGAAAUUUCCAUUCAGCUAUAAGGGAAAUAUUAUAGGCAUGCAGACAUUCUAUGAAAUGAAAUGCAAAAGGUCUUAUUUCCUAGGGCCGAAAGUAAUAGUUUCUUUAUGGAUUUAUUUGUUAUAAGGCUGUGCAUGAAGACGAGGGUUGCGGCCAUGGAACUAUGUUUGUGCAUCGAGGUAACACACAUGGAUGUCCUCGGGACUCUGCCUGAGCCAUCAUGCACACCAAGCAUUAGAUUCGCUCACUGCACGAGUGUUCAUUGAGCACCUACUACACGCUGGGCCCAGUGCUCGGCUCUGGGGGACACAGCAGUCGCAAGACAAGGUCUUUGUCCUCAGGAAGGGAUGGACAGGGCACGAGGCAGAGAGAAACAUAUGCACAAAGGCCCCUGGCAAGCAGGAAGCUGAUGUGCAGAGGGGAGACGGCACAGGCGGAGCAGGCAGGGCGGCCCACCCAGACUCAGCAGUCUUGCCCAACAUGGCAUGGAGUCAGACCCUCCCCUGGAGUCCCCGGGGCUCCUGAAGAAGGCUUGUGAACAGGAGGUGACAGGAUCACAGCCUUUGGCUGCAAUACAGAGGGCAGUAUGGAAAUGGACAAAACUGGGGGGCUGAGAAAGAUCUCCAAGGGCCCCCUGCUGCAGGGCUGCUUGGACAGAGUGUGUGGGCACAGAGUGUGGUGCAGGGGUGCAGCAGAAGGAGGGAGCCCUGGACAAGGCAGGAAGGGGGCCUUGCAUCAUGCUCCCACCCAGAUGUUCACUGGACAUGUGGCUAGAAGACCACCUGGUGAUGGAUGGGCCAUGGGAGGCCCCUGUGCGAGUUCUCCUCUCUUCAGACAUUUAAUUUCCCUGAAAAGACAUUUUUGAUCUUAGCUGUCUUCCUCGCUCUCCUUGAGUUGCACAAACUUUAUUUUCAUAUGGGGGGGGGGGUACCACUCGUUUGCAUGGUGCAGCUGCCUUAAGCCAACCUACCCGAAGCCAACAUCAUCUGCUGGCCCGUUCAGCCACUCUCUCUGUGUAGGAAUGUCCGGCUGCUGGCAUCCAUAGUCAAGCCCACUGUCAGCCCUGGGAGAUCUGGCAGAGUCCCAGGGGGUUACAGCUCAUCCCAACUGGGGAAAUGAGACCGGCUGAGGUCCCACGUGUUGUCAAGGAGCUCAGAGAAAGACCAGAGAGGGGGGCAUCUGCACCACACUCUUCCUGACAGGGAGGGCAGCAGGCCCUGUACGGUCAAGUUCAUGGGGCCAAGGACACAGGUUCACAGGGAGUAGAUAUGGGAACCCAAGUGCACAGUGAGGGGUGCCUUUGAGGGCUUAAGCGAUAUCCCCUUCCCAUCUGUAAUGUUUCCCCUUAGCCAUCUGUGAUUUUAAAAAAAUCAGUAAAAUCAGCCUGCUGGCGUAAAAAGCACAAGACAAUUCCUCCGCCCCCCUCCCCUUCCGCUCA